UACGGAGGGUGCAAACGUUGCUCGGAAUCAUUGGGCGUAAAGCGCACGUAGGCGGCCUGAUAAGUCGGGUGUGAAAGCCCUGGGCUCAACCUAGGAAGUGCACUCGAAACUGCCAGGCUUGAAUAUGGAAGAGGGUCGCGGAAUUCCCGGUGUAGAGGUGAAAUUCGUAGAUAUCGGGAGGAACACCAGUGGCGAAGGCGGCGACCUGGGCCAAUAUUGACGCUGAGGUGCGAAAGCGUGGGGAGCAAACAGG
rnacentral:rRNA from 1 species